CAGCAACCCAUCUGGUGUAUCUGGGUAUACCCGGGGCACCCGCGACCUCCUACACCCCACAGCUCCCCUAAAAGCCCUUGGCCUCCGGACGGCACCAUCGCCCUCCAGUCUUGUGCCAAGGGCUCUGCGGGGUGCCGGGGACACAGUCCCCAGGCAGGCAGGAAGGCUAUGUAGUUAGUAAAAGCAUGUUUAGUUCUGUGAGGCAGUGCGGGGAACGUCGAGGGCCCGGCCCGGUAGGGAGGGUCACGCUUGACUUCUGGAGGGAGCAGCAGCGAAGCUGAAGACAGGUCCAGACGCAGCUGGCCGAGGAACGAGCUGAUGGAGGCCAGACUGGCAGCGAGCAGCGUGUAAGGGCCCGAAGGGGGCCUCGGGAGCAGGCUAGGGGAGGGGAUGCGCUCAGAUCCAGAGGUGGUGCGUGAGACAUCCAGAUGGCACUGUUCAGGGCAAGCAGUUACAGUUACAAGAGGCUCCGAAAGGAGUAUGGAUUGGAGACAACGGUGUAGCCGAGGGAACAGGUUCUUGUGAAACCUGUGCUCCUCCGCCAGAGAUGCUGACCCAGCAUCAAACCCUCCCCCUCCCUGUGCGGCCGCCCGAGCCGCCCAGUCUGCUGAGGCCCCAAGAUGGCAACCAGGGCUUUCCAAACGGACUCCACCUCUUCCCCACAGGCUGCCUGGUGAUUCACCCCUCCUCUCCCACUGUCUUCCCUCUUGCUGCAAGCCUUGGGCUACCAGGGAAGGGAACUUCUUCUCAGUUUCCUGUGUGGCUGACCCCGGCUGGCGACUGGCGAGGAUCCUGCUCAGGCCUCAAGCUUCUGCCUCCCUUCCCUGAGAGUCCUUUCCAACCCCCUCCUCUCCAGGAAGACUCCGGUAAAUAAAGCCCGUGAACACUUCGGCUUCCUCCCCAAGAAGCUGGACGUUUCCUCCCAACACACCGUUGGCUCCCAGGCCAGCACUCAAUCCAAUGAGCCACCCCAGCCAGGGCUAAAACAAGAUUCUUGUCAGAGAAGCACUCCCAGCCUGAUCAGCCUAAUAAAUCAC